rnacentral:rRNA from 1 species
UACGAAGGUGGCAAGCGUUGUUCGGAUUUACUGGGCGUAAAGGGCGCGUAGGCGGUACUUCAAGUCAGGCGUGAAAGCCCCGGGCUCAACCUGGGAACCGCGCUUGAGACUGGAGAACUAGAGUUCGGGAGAGGAUGGUGGAAUUCCCAGUGUAGAGGUGAAAUUCGUAGAUAUUGGGAAGAACACCGAUGGCGAAGGCAGCCAUCUGGACCGACACUGACGCUGAGGCGCGAAAAGCGUGGGGAGCAA